AAACCGCCUAGAGGUAAACGGGUGGAUCCGCAAAGUCGGCCCGCGGAAUUCAGCUCGGAAGGUUCGCAGCGCCUGCAGUCCGGGUCGGAGAUCUUGAAUUGGACUCUCCCGGCGCAGGACGCGGCCCGACCGUGUGCACUUUCCGCGGGCAGAGCGCCACGACCGGUUCUCGGGCGGUCAGAAGGCGGUGGGGAUGGUAGGUGCGCGCUUCGGCGGGCACUGGUAUAGCCCCACCUGUCCCGAUCCGCUCGGGGACCGAGGAGCCGCCGCCGGCAGUAAGGCCGCCUCACCCUCCUGGGAUGUUUCGACUGGCAGAGACUGGGCAACCGUGUCUGCCGACCGCUUCCUUGGACGGUUCUUAAGGGGUGGGCCCGCCGGCACAGGGUCGGUGGCGAAUCGGUCGGCCCUCCACCCGACCCGUCUUGAA
rnacentral:rRNA from 1 species